rnacentral:lncRNA from 1 species
CACUCUUGCCUGUUCCCUAGGUGCUGGGAUCAAAAUGCUUGUGCCACUAUCCCCAUCUUUAGGGACCCUUAAUACCACACUUCUCUUCCUAGGGGUUCCUGCCUCUCACUCAGCUCCAAAGGAGGAAACAAAAGUAUGGUACCCUGCCUGCCCCUUGUAAAUGAGCAAUCCAGCUUUGCCACUUCCACGGUCUUCUCACCCAGCCAGGCGCGGUACUGCUCCAGAGGUACGCCUUCCAUCGGUUCCUCUUCAUUAUCCACCACCAUCAGGGGAGACGGUGAGCGAGGCCC